GACGAACGCUGGCGGCGUGCCUAAUACAUGCAAGUCGAACGAUGAAGGGAGGAGCUUGCUCUUCUUGGAUGAGUUGCGAACGGGUGAGUAACGCGUAGGUAACCUGCCUUGUAGCGGGGGAUAACUAUUGGAAACGAUAGCUAAUAUCGCAUAACAAUGGAUGACACAUGUCAUUUAUUUGAAAGGGGCAAUUGCUCAACUAUAAGCUGGACCUGCGUUGUAUUAGCUAGUAGGUGAGGUAAUGGCUCACCUAGGCGACGAUACGUAGCCGACCUGAGAGGAUGAUCGGCCACACUGGGACUGAGACACGGCCCAGACUCCUACGGGAGGCAGCAGUAGGGAAUCUUCGGCAAUGGGGGCAACCCUGACCGAGCAACGCCGCGUGAGUGAAGAAGGUUUUCGGAUCGUAAAGCUCUGUUGUAAGUCAAGAACGGGUGUGAGAGUAGAAAGUUCACACUGUGACGGUAGCUUAACAGAAAGCGACGGCUAACUACGUG
rnacentral:rRNA from 1 species